rnacentral:rRNA from 1 species
AGCGAACGCUGGCGGCAGGCCUAACACAUGCAAGUCGAACGAACCUUUCGGGGUUAGUGGCGGACGGGUGAGUAACACGUGGGAACGUGCCUUUAGGUUCGGAAUAACUCAGGGAAACUUGUGCUAAUACCGAAUGUGCCCUUCGGGGGAAAGAUUUAUCGCCUUUAGAGCGGCCCGCGUCUGAUUAGCUAGUUGGUUGAGGUAAUGGCUCACCAAGGCGACGAUCAGUAGCUGGUCUGAGAGGAUGAUCAGCCACAUUGGGACUGAGACACGGCCCAAAUCCCUCCGGGGGGCAGCAGGGGGGAAUCUUGGGCAAUGGGGGAAAGCCUAACGCAGCCAUGCCGGGUGAAUGAUGAAGGUCUUAGGAUUGUAAAAUUUUUUCCCCGGGGACGAUAAUGACGGUACCCGGGGAAGAAGCCCCGGCUACCUUCGU